rnacentral:misc_RNA from 1 species
GUGAAUCAUCGAAUCUUUGAACGCAAAUUGCACUCCCUUGGGUGAGUAUGACUGUUUCAGGUUCAGCGUCAAUAAAAUCGACAUAGUCGCUGUUUCGCGGUGACAUUCGUCGGCAAUUGGGUCAUCUUACACCUUUGGGUUUUAAGCGGCUUACAAUUUUAUUUCCGAUUCCACGACCGUUUCUAAGCUUUACUUAUUAUAAGUUUAAGGUAUCGAUCUUUAUUAGACGUGUCAGUUGCUUCGGUGCUUGUCCACAAAUAUUUCGUUAACUUA